UACGGAGGGGGCUAGCGUUGUUCGGAUUCACUGGGCGUAAAGGGUGCGUAGGUGGCUUGAAAAGUUUGAUGUGAAAGCUCAGGGCUUAACCCUGAAAUGGCAUUGAAUACUGUCGAGCUGGAGGUUUGGAGGGGGGACUGGAAUUCUUGGUGUAGCAGUGAAAUGCGUAGAUAUCAAGAGGAACACCAGUGGCGAAGGCGAGUCCCUGGACAACACCUGACACUGAGGCACGAAAGCUAGGGGAGCAAACAGG
rnacentral:rRNA from 1 species